CAGCUCUUCGUUCAUUUUGCAGCGGCAUCUGGUCUGGAAAGACCAGGACGAGUAUGCAGUGCAUUGACUGGGAUGUUGUCAUGGAGACUACUGGAAUGAGGUCUAGGCCUGUUAACUUCAAGGAUGCUUAAAUGAACCGGCCUGCACCUGGUGCCAGUUGACUUAUUUUUAUGGUGGAACCACUUGUCCUGACCAAGUGGUCAAAAUGGACUUCUCGUGUGUGUGUGUGUGUACUGCAAGCACAAGUCAACCUAGACCAGAACUAAAGAGCCUGGGUUGUGUAGAGGAACAUUGUGCUGUUAUUAAAAAUGGAAUGGGUUGAAUCCUCAAACAGGUGGCACACAUGAAGUUGGCUGAACGAAUGAAAGUACUGGAAUCUUCCCCUGGAAGUUCUGCACCUUCUUGAAUAUGGCAAAGUUGGUUUGCCAUGACUGGGAGCAAUGUACUGUUCUGGAUUUCCCUAGAGGUUGACUUGCUAGAUGCUGGUGUAUCUUACAGAAAAGGUUGCUGAACUUUGUACUGUUCUUCCAGUUUCCUAGAGGUUGACUUGCUAGAUGCUGGUAUCUUUUACAGAAAAGGUUGUUACAUUUAACUUGAAGUUCAGUCCUUACCUCCUGUACAGCCAACAAUUGAGCUACACUGUACAAAACUACUCUAACAGCAUUAAACCAUGUAAAAUGGCUAAGAUUCAUGGACUUUGUCAUUGCUACUGUAAGCACUUGUAAGACUAAAGCUGCCUGGCUAAAUUCAUAAAAUCUGCCUCUUCUUGGCCUGUAUUUUAACCAGUUUAUUCUAAGGACACAGAUGGCAUUUUGUUUUCAAUAACUGAAGUUUACAUUCAGCACAUGUUUUAGUAUUUAUUGUUCAACUAAUACGCCAUUGAGAAUCCAUAGUUUACAGAUUUCAUGAUGUAAACUAUGAUUUCACCCUUUUAUUAGACGAUAUGCACAUCUAACCUGCCCUUCAAUAAAGUGAACCAUAUAAAUGUG